UACGAGGGGGGCGAGGCGUUGUUCGGAAUUAUUGGCGUAAAGGGCGCGUAGGCGGUUCGUUAAGUCCUGUGUGAAAUCCCCCGGCUCAACUGGGGAACUGCACAGGAAACUAGCGGGCUUGAGUUCGGGAGAGGGAAGCGGAAUUCCGGGUGUAGCGGUGAAAUGCGUAGAUAUCCGGAGGAACACCGGUGGCGAAGGCGGCUUCCUGGACCGACACUGACGCUGAGCGC
rnacentral:rRNA from 1 species